GGUACGGUGCGCGUGGCCCGCCAUCGAAAGGUGUGCGAGUGUCGCUUGUGCGUCUACCAUCUCUUGUAGCUAGGGUGUCUCUCUCCAGGGGCAUCUGAACUACAUCGUUUACUUUGAAGAAAUUAGAGUGUUCAAAGCGGGCUUGCGCAUGAAUAUAUUAGCAUGGAAUAAUAAUUUAGGACUUUGAUCCUAUUUUGUUGGUUUUAAGGAUUAAAGUA
rnacentral:rRNA from 1 species